rnacentral:rRNA from 1 species
UACGUAGGGACCAAGCGUUGUUCGGAUUUACUGGGCGUAACGGGCGCGUAGGCGGCAUGACAAGUCACUUGUGAAAUCUCCGGGCUUAACUCGGAACGGUCAAGUGAUACUGUCGCGCUAGAGUGCGGAAGGGGCAAUCAGAAUUCUUGGUGUAGCGGUGAAAUGCGUAGAUAUCAAGAGGAAUACCUGAGGUGAAGACGGGUUGCUAGGCCGACACUGACGCUGAAGCGCGAAAGCCAGGGGAGCAAACGGG